GGGUUGUGAGGUUAAGCGACUAAGCGUACACGGUGGAUGCCCUGGCAGUCAGAGGCGAUGAAGGGCGUGCUAAUCUGCGAUAAGCGCCGGUAAGGUGAUAUGAACCGUUAUAACCGGCGAUACCCGAAUGGGGAAACCCAGUGUGACUCGUCACACUAUCAUUAACUGAAUCCAUAGGUUAAUGAGGCGAACCGGGAGAACUGAAACAUCUAAGUACCCCGAGGAAAAGAAAUCAACCGAGAUUCCCCCAGUAGCGGCGAGCGAACGGGGAGGAGCCCAGAGCCUGAAUCAGCAUGUGUGUUAGUGGAAGCGUCUGGAAAGGCGCGCGAUACAGGGUGACAGCCCCGUACACAAAAGCGCAUGUGCUGUGAGCUCGAUGAGUAGGGCGGGACACGUGGUAUCCUGUCUGAAUAUGGGGGGACCAUCCUCCAAGGCUAAAUACUCCUGACUGACCGAUAGUGAACCAGUACCGUGAGGGAAAGGCGAAAAGAACCCCGGCGAGGGGAGUGAAAAAGAACCUGAAACCGUGUACGUACAAGCAGUGGGAGCACAGGUUUACCUGUGUGACUGCGUACCUUUUGUAUAAUGGGUCAGCGACUUAUAUUCUGUAGCAAGGUUAACCGAAUAGGGGAGCCGGAGGGAAACCGAGUCUUAAUUGGGCGUUAAGUUGCAGGGUAUAGACCCGAAACCCGGUGAUCUAGCCAUGGGCAGGUUGAAGGUUGGGUAACACUAACUGGAGGACCGAACCGACUAAUGUUGAAAAAUUAGCGGAUGACCUGUGGCUGGGGGUGAAAGGCCAAUCAAACCGGGAGAUAGCUGGUUCUCCCCGAAAGCUAUUUAGGUAGCGCCUCGUGAAUUCAUCUCCGGGGGUAGAGCACUGUUUCGGCUAGGGGGCCAUCCCGGCUUACCAACCCGAUGCAAACUGCGAAUACCGGAGAAUGUUAUCACGGGAGACACACGGCGGGUGCUAACGUCCGUCGUGAAGAGGGAAACAACCCAGACCGCCAGCUAAGGUCCCAAAGUCAUGGUUAAGUGGGAAACGAUGUGGGAAGGCCCAGACAGCCAGGAUGUUGGCUUAGAAGCAGCCAUCAUUUAAAGAAAGCGUAAUAGCUCACUGGUCGAGUCGGCCUGCGCGGAAGAUGUAACGGGGCUAAACCAUGCACCGAAGCUGCGGCAGCGACACUGUGUGUUGUUGGGUAGGGGAGCGUUCUGUAAGCCUGUGAAGGUGGCCUGUGAGGGUUGCUGGAGGUAUCAGAAGUGCGAAUGCUGACAUAAGUAACGAUAAAGCGGGUGAAAAGCCCGCUCGCCGGAAGACCAAGGGUUCCUGUCCAACGUUAAUCGGGGCAGGGUGAGUCGACCCCUAAGGCGAGGCCGAAAGGCGUAGUCGAUGGGAAACAGGUUAAUAUUCCUGUACUUGGUGUUACUGCGAAGGGGGGACGGAGAAGGCUAUGUUGGCCGGGCGACGGUUGUCCCGGUUUAAGCGUGUAGGCUGGUUUUCCAGGCAAAUCCGGAAAAUCAAGGCUGAGGCGUGAUGACGAGGCACUACGGUGCUGAAGCAACAAAUGCCCUGCUUCCAGGAAAAGCCUCUAAGCAUCAGGUAACAUCAAAUCGUACCCCAAACCGACACAGGUGGUCAGGUAGAGAAUACCAAGGCGCUUGAGAGAACUCGGGUGAAGGAACUAGGCAAAAUGGUGCCGUAACUUCGGGAGAAGGCACGCUGACACGUAGGUGAAGUGAUUUACUCACGGAGCUGAAGUCAGUCGAAGAUACCAGCUGGCUGCAACUGUUUAUUAAAAACACAGCACUGUGCAAACACGAAAGUGGACGUAUACGGUGUGACGCCUGCCCGGUGCCGGAAGGUUAAUUGAUGGGGUCAGCGCAAGCGAAGCUCCUGAUCGAAGCCCCGGUAAACGGCGGCCGUAACUAUAACGGUCCUAAGGUAGCGAAAUUCCUUGUCGGGUAAGUUCCGACCUGCACGAAUGGCGUAAUGAUGGCCAGGCUGUCUCCACCCGAGACUCAGUGAAAUUGAACUCGCUGUGAAGAUGCAGUGUACCCGCGGCAAGACGGAAAGACCCCGUGAACCUUUACUAUAGCUUGACACUGAACAUUGAGCCUUGAUGUGUAGGAUAGGUGGGAGGCUUUGAAGUGUGGACGCCAGUCUGCAUGGAGCCGACCUUGAAAUACCACCCUUUAAUGUUUGAUGUUCUAACGUGGACCCGUAAUCCGGGUUGCGGACAGUGUCUGGUGGGUAGUUUGACUGGGGCGGUCUCCUCCUAAAGAGUAACGGAGGAGCACGAAGGUUGGCUAAUCCUGGUCGGACAUCAGGAGGUUAGUGCAAUGGCAUAAGCCAGCUUGACUGCGAGCGUGACGGCGCGAGCAGGUGCGAAAGCAGGUCAUAGUGAUCCGGUGGUUCUGAAUGGAAGGGCCAUCGCUCAACGGAUAAAAGGUACUCCGGGGAUAACAGGCUGAUACCGCCCAAGAGUUCAUAUCGACGGCGGUGUUUGGCACCUCGAUGUCGGCUCAUCACAUCCUGGGGCUGAAGUAGGUCCCAAGGGUAUGGCUGUUCGCCAUUUAAAGUGGUACGCGAGCUGGGUUUAGAACGUCGUGAGACAGUUCGGUCCCUAUCUGCCGUGGGCGCUGGAGAACUGAGGGGGGCUGCUCCUAGUACGAGAGGACCGGAGUGGACGCAUCACUGGUGUUCGGGUUGUCAUGCCAAUGGCACUGCCCGGUAGCUAAAUGCGGAAGAGAUAAGUGCUGAAAGCAUCUAAGCACGAAACUUGCCCCGAGAUGAGUUCUCCCUGAGACUUAGAGUCUCCUGAAGGAACGUUGAAGACGACGACGUUGAUAGGCCGGGUGUGUAAGCGCAGCGAUGCGUUGAGCUAACCGGUACUAAUGAACCGUGAGGCUUAACCUUACAACGCCGAAGCUGUU
rnacentral:rRNA from 1 species